AGAGUUUGAUCCUGGCUCAGGGUGAACGCUAGCGGCAGGCCUAACACAUGCAAGUCGAGGGGUAACAGUUCCAAGCAAUUGGAAGCUGACGACCGGCGCACGGGUGCGUAACGCGUAUGCAACCUACCUUUAACUGGGGAAUAGCCCGGAGAAAUCCGGAUUAAUACCCCAUAAUAUUCCGAAUGGGCAUCCAUUUUGAAUUAAAGCUUCGGCGGUUUUAGAUGGGCAUGCGUGGCAUUAGUUAGUUGGCGAGGUAACGGCUCACCAAGACAAUGAUGCCUAGGGGUUCUGAGAGGAUUUUCCCCCACACUGGUACUGAGACACGGACCAGACUCCUACGGGAGGCAGCAGUGAGGAAUAUUGGUCAAUGGACGCAAGUCUGAACCAGCCAUGCCGCGUGCAGGAUGACGGCCCUAUGGGUUGUAAACUGCUUUUAUAUGGGAAGAAACCUUUCUACGUGUAGAAAGCUGACGGUACCAUACGAAUAAGGACCGGCUAACUCCGUGCCAGCAGCCGCGGUAAUACGGAGGGUCCAAGCGUUAUCCGGAUUUAUUGGGUUUAAAGGGUGCGCAGGCGGAUUUGUAAGUCAGUGGUGAAAUCCCCCGGCUCAACCGGGGAACUGCCAUUGAUACUGCUAAUCUAGAGUACAGUUGAAGUAGGCGGAAUGUAGCAUGUAGCGGUGGAAUGCAUAGAGAUGCUACAGAACACCGAUUGCGAAGGCAGCUUACUAAGCUGUAACUGACGCUCAGGCACGAAAGCGUGGGGAGCAAACAGGAUUAGAUACCCUGGUAGUCCACGCCGUAAACUAUGAUUACUCGUUGUUGGCAAUAUAUCGUCAGCGACUGAACAAAAGUGUUAAGUAAUCCACCUGGGAAGUACGAUCGCAAGGUUGAAACUCAAAGGAAUUGACGGGGGCCCGCACAAGCGGUGGAGCAUGUGGUUUAAUUCGAUGAUACGCGAGGAACCUUACCUGGGCUUAAAUGUUAGACGACAGUUUCGGAAACGAAAUUUUCCUUCGGGACGUCUUACAAGGUGCUGCAUGGUUGUCGUCAGCUCGUGCCGUGAGGUGUCGGGUUAAGUCCCAUAACGAGCGCAACCCCUAUUCUUAGUUGCCAUCAGGUCAUGCUGGGGACUCUAAGAAAACUGCCUACGCAAGUAGUGAAGAAGGUGGGGAUGACGUCAAAUCAGCACGGCCCUUAUGUCCAGGGCUACACACGUGCUACAAUGGCCGGUACAGAGGGUCGCUACCUGGUGACAGGAUGCUAAUCUCGAAAACCGGUCUCAGUUCGGAUCGAAGUCUGCAACUCGACUUCGUGUAGCUGGAAUCGCUAGUAAUCGCACAUCAGCCAUGGCGCGGUGAAUACGUUCCCGGGCCUUGUACACACCGCCCGUCAAGCCAUGGAAGUUGGGGGUACCUGAAGUCCGUAACCGUAAGGAGCGGCCUAGGGUAAAACCAAUGACUGGGGCUAAGUCGGAACAAGGUA
rnacentral:rRNA from 1 species